rnacentral:ncRNA from 2 species
GGGCCGAGUCGUGACUGGCGUGCUGGGGUGGAAUCAACCACCGGGGAGCGACCAAUCGGCACGGCACCGUGCGCCUGGGUGCCGCCG